UCUCUGCCCCCUCAUUCGUUCUCUCUCUCUCUCUCUCUCUGCCCUCAUUCCAACGGCCGGCGGCGACCGGCAGCGGCGGCGCACCGGAGGAGGCCGAAUCCUCUCUCUCUCUCCGUUUUUUCACCGUCGCCCCCCUCCCCAUCUCUCUCCUCGAGCCUGCGGCGGCGGCGCACAGGGAGUUGCCGGCGGUGGCGAUGGCGACCGGAUCCCAGCAUCUGGAUCCAUGGAGGCGGGUUCCUCCGUCUUCCCCACGCGCCACUGUGGAGAUAGCAGGUCGAGGUGAGCCCUAUUCUCUCCGGACAACACUGUGGUGACUAGCCUCCCUCCAUAGAAGGACGGGGAAGGUCGAGAUCUGCCCGGAGUGCUCAUCCUUGCCGGAUGCCCGGAUCUGAGCUCCUCCUCAAAGAAUCCGUUACAACAGCCGCUGGAUCCAUGCCCUUCGCUGAUGAUGCGCUUCACCACUGGCUCGGCUCCCCCAACAUGCUGCCUGGGCUUCUCAUGGCUUCCCCUAUCAGCACGGCGUCGCAAUGGCAAGGAGAUGGUGGUGCCGGCAUCUAUCUGUCGGCAACACAUGCUCCAUGCAUCUAUUUUGGAACUUACUCGACUUCUACGAUGUACUACUUGAUUACACCAGCACCAUGAGGAGCAAUGCUGAUUCCCUUUUUCUCUGAGAUAAUCUUCUCAAACCUCACGGAUCUUGUGUUCUUUUGUGACUUGUGUUUUCAUUUCUCUUUGUUCAUGAUUUCAUUUUUUCUUUUUUCCUUCAACUGUGAGUGGACAUGAAUUGCAUGGAAAUAUUGUGUCAAUGAUGAAAUGCUACAAUUUUGAGUUCAGAUCGGAAGAUCUGUUGACGUGGACAUUCUCCAUUUUUAAAAAACAUUUGCAAGAAAUUUGUGAAUUCUAGUCUGCA